rnacentral:rRNA from 1 species
GACGUAGGGCGCGAGCGUUGUCCGGAUUUUUUGGGCGUAAAGAGCUCGUAGGCGGCUUGUUGCGUCGACUGUGAAAACCCGCGGCUUAACUGCGGGCUUGCAGUUGAUACGGGCAGGCUAGAGUUCGGUAGGGGAGACUGGAAUUCCUGGUGUAGCGGUGAAAUGCGCAGAUAUCAGGAGGAACACCGGUGGCGAAGGCGGGUCUCUGGGCCGAUACUGACGCUGAGGAGCGAAAGCGUGGGGAGCGAACAGG